rnacentral:tRNA from 1 species
UCCUCAAUGGCGCAGUGGUAAUGCGCUUGGCUUUAAUUUUUUCGCCCAAGUUCGAAUCCUGAUUGGGCAA